UUUUAUUCUUUCAAUGCCCCUUGGCAAUCAUUAUUUCACCUGACCGUUUGAUCUUUUUUUUUUUCAACAGCUUGAAUAUGGGUUUACCCGUGGCGGUUAGAUGAGAUGUGAACCAUGACAGGUAGUUCAAUCUUUCUAGGAGACCACGAACCUCUCUUUUUAUUCUCGGUUCAGGCGUUUUUUUUUUCUCUGUUUUUUUUUUUUUU
rnacentral:lncRNA from 1 species